rfam:Elizabethkingia anophelis NTHP1, complete genome.
GAGAGCCGUGUACGCUGAGAGGUGUAAGCACGGUUCGGGGGCGAGUGCUUGGAAACCUACUAUAGUAAUAUAGCAAGGCGCUGGGUGCUUAGCCUAC